GCCCCCAAAUGCUCUACCUUUCUCGGUUGGUCGAAAGGCAGCUCAGCUCGCCUUCUGGCCUCCCAGGUGGGGUUUUACCCCAGGGUAGGGGGGCCAGGGUCGGCAGGCCGGGAGGGGAACCCCGGUACCGGAGCAGGCGGGGCGGCAGGAGGGCCCGCGCCAGCCACCCUGAAGUGGGCGUGGGCUGGAACUCGGCUCCCAGCCUUGCAGAAGCUGCAAUUUUACAACCUCACAACCGGCGUCCCCCAGCAAAGCUGCACCGCCAUUUCCCGAGCUUGGGAACUGCAGGCAAGCUGUCAGCUGACUGCACACCGGGGAGGGUGCCCGCCUUGCCCUCCUGUGGAUGCAGCUGUGACCCUCAUCCAGAACGCCCUGAGGCACACCUGGAUGGCAUCUGACCAAACGUCCGGGUGCUCCGGGUCCGAGGCCAGACCCCGCCCUUGACCAGCUCUGGUUCCAAGAUGAAUCCCAGGAUGGCGGCGUCUCAGAAGCUUCCGGAAGGCGGCCGAAGAUACGCACCGAGAACCGAGGGGCCCGAGGAUGAGGCCUCUCGUUCUGGCCUGAAGUUGAGGUCUCUUCUUCAGGGACUGGUCAGGGUCCCUGUCCUAGCAGAGAGGGGCCCCUGGGUUGGGGGCCUGCUAGUACCUGUGGGUGGGGGUGGGGGGCGAGUGAGGGACCCUGGUGUCCCCUGCGUGCUGCAGCCAGAUGCUUGCUACCACCACCUCCAGGGGUGCUCCUGGCAGCCUUACUUCUGGCUCAGUUCCCUGGGUCCAGCUGGGAGCAUGCAGGGGUCCCUGGCCAUGGCGGACAGUGGGGAGUGGCUGGGAGGCGGGGGCUGUCCUGUCCUCAGGAGUGAGUGCUGCAGGCCUGGGGCUGAGCCGGUCUGGACAGCAGACUGCGGAAGAGCCCCUGGUAGGAGCGAUGGGUGAGGUAGUCGCGGGUGACCAGCUCUGUCUCCCCAGUGAGAUCGACACUGUGUGUCUCCGUGUGGAGGGUGAUGGCUCAGGGUGUGGUCCCUGGUCCUGAACUUUCUGGGCUCAAGUCCGGGCACUGCCCCUUACAGGCUGAGUGCCCCGGGGCGUUUCUCCACUCUCUCUGUUUCCUUGUCUGUAGAAUGGGGUGGCUGCAGCUCCCACCCCACAGGGUCAUCACAAGGGAUUAAGCACAUUGGCACUGAAAGACCUUAGUGCAGCACCGGGCAUGGGUCAGUGCCAUCAGCAUCAUUUACAAAACUCCAAAAACAUCCUGCAUCUGAGGGCAGAUGAGGCGGUCCCCGCCGCCGCCCGGGGCUGCUGGGGCUCCUGGCCCCUGGCCACAUGGCUGCUUCCUUUCCUCUCCGUCUUCCUGGCACAGCCUGACGGUCCCUCUCUUCCUGCAGAGACGGGCAUUUCUUCUGGAACUUGUGUCUCAGCCCUGACUUACCCACUUCCAGUUUCCAUCCCUCAGGGAGUCAAAAGUGACCCCAUGAUUAUCUGAUCCGCAGAAAAGCAGAAGUGUGAACCUACUUUACUAUGAAAAAUAAGAAAAUUAAGGCCGGGUGCGGUGGCUCACGCCUGUCACCCCAGCACUGUGGG